rnacentral:rRNA from 1 species
UACAGAGGUCUCAAGCGUUGUUCGGAUUCAUUGGGCGUAAAGGGCGCGUAGGCGGCGGGGUAAGUCGGGUGUGAAAUCUCAGAGCUCAACUCUGAGACUGCACUCGAUACUGCUCUGCUUGAGGACUGGAGAGGAGACUGGAAUUCACGGUGUAGCAGUGAAAUGCGUAGAUAUCAGGAGGAACACCGGUGGCGAAGGCGGAUCUCUGGGCCAUUACUGACGCUGAGGAGCGAAAGCGUGGGUAGCAAACAGG